AAACUAACAAGGAUUCCCCUAGUAACGGCGAGCGAAGCGGGAAGAGCUCAAAUUUGAAAUCUGGUGGCCUCAGGUCAUCCGAGUUGUAAUCUAUAGAAGUGUUUUCCGUGCUGGCCCAUGUACAAGUCCCUUGGAACAGGGCGUCAUAGAGGGUGAGAAUCCCGUCCUUGACAUGGACUACCAGUGCUCUGUGAUACACUUUCAACGAGUCGAGUUGUUUGGGAAUGCAGCUCAAAAUGGGUGGUAAAUUCCAUCUAAAGCUAAAUAUUGGCGAGAGACCGAUAGCGAACAAGUACCGUGAGGGAAAGAUGAAAAGCACUUUGGAAAGAGAGUUAAACAGUAUGUGAAAUUGUUGAAAGGGAAACGAUUGAAGUCAGUCGUGCUCAAUGGACUCAGCCGUUCUGCGGUGUAUUUCCAUUGGGUGGGGUCAACAUCAGUUUUGAUCGCUGGAUAAAGGCAGGAGGAAUGUAGCACCCCCGGGUGAACUUAUAGCCUCUUGUCACAUACAGUGGUUGGGACUGAGGAACGCAGCAUGCCUUUAUGGCCGGGAUUCGUCCACGUACAUGCUUAGGA
rnacentral:rRNA from 1 species